rnacentral:rRNA from 1 species
AUUGAACGCUGGCGGCAGGCCUAACACAUGCAAGUCGAGCGAGCGGCGGACGGGUGAGUAAUGUAUGGGGACUGCCCGAUAGAGGGGGAUAACUACUGGAAACGGUGGCUAAUACCGCAUACUAUCGGAUAACCCAUAUGGGUUUAGCUAGUAGGUGGGGUAAAGGCUCACUUAGGCAACGAUCUCUAGCUGGUCUGAGAGGAUGAUCAGCCAGACGUGGACUGAGACACGGCCCUGACUCCUCGGGAGGGAGCAGUGGGGAAUAUUGCACAAGGGGCGCAAGCCUGAUGCAGACAUGCCGCGUGUAUGAAGAGGGCCUUAGGGUUGUAACGUACUUUCAGCGGGGAGGCGUUACCCGCAGAAGAAGCACCGGCUAACUCCGUGCCAGCAGCCGCGGUAAUUC